rnacentral:lncRNA from 1 species
AUACUCCAGCUGGGGCUGCUGUUGCUGCUUGUUGUUAGGCCACCUGAGAAAUUUGGGUUUCUAACAUUUUGUUAUGGGUAGCCAUAUCAUCAAGCUUGUUUGAUAUUUGUUUCAAUCAGCUCAUUCGUGUGAACAUGUUGGUUAGCAAAUUCUUUAUUCUGUUGGGUUUGGGCUGCGAUAAAGUUCUCCAAUAGUAGUUCGACAUUUG